GCACUUUCAGUCGUGAGGAAGGUAGUGUAGUUAAUAGCUGCAUUAUUUGACGUUAGCGACAGAAGAAGCACCGGCUAACUCCGUGCCAGCAGCCGCGGUAAUACGGAGGGUGCGAGCGUUAAUCGGAAUUACUGGGCGUAAAGCGCAUGCAGGUGGUUUGUUAAGUCAGAUGUGAAAGCCCGGGGCGUCAACCUCGGAAUAGCAUUUGAAACUGGCAGACUAGAGUACUGUAGAGGGGGGUAGGAAUUUCAGGUGUAGCGGUGAAAUAGCGUAGAGAUCUGAAGGAAUACCGGUGGCGAAGGCGGCCCCCUGGACAGAUACUGACACUCAGACUGCGAAAGCGUGGGGAGCCAAACAGGAUUAGAUACCCCUGGUAG
rnacentral:rRNA from 1 species